rnacentral:ncRNA from 2 species
UACACAAGAAGAUGACGCCAGUGC